AUUGAACGCUGGCGGCAGGCCUAACACAUGCAAGUCGAGCGGAGCGGCGGACGGGUGAGUAAUGCCUAGGAAUCUGCAUGGUAGUGGGGGAUAACGUCCGGAAACGGGCGCUAAUACCGCAUACUAUCAGAUGAGCCUCGGUCGGAUGAGCUAGUUGGUGGGUUAAAGGCCCACCAAGGCGACGAUCCGUAACUGGUAGGAGAGGAUGAUCAGUCAAACUGGAACUGGGAAACGGUCCAGACUCCUAGGGGAGGCAGCAGUGGGGAAUAUUGGACAUGGGGCGAAAGCCUGAUCCAGCCAUGCCGCGUGUGGGAAGAGGGUCUUCGGUUGGUAAAGCACUUUAAGUUGGGAGGCGUUACCAACAGAAUAAGCACCGGCUAACUUCGUGCCAGCCGCCGCGGUAAUAC
rnacentral:rRNA from 1 species